GUCAGCAGCCAUAUCACCCUGCAACUCACAACUGGCAACCCACUGAAGCUAAGCAGGUGUGAGCCUGGUCAGUACCUGGAUGGGAGACCUCCUGGGAAAAACUAAGGUUGCUUCUAGAA
rnacentral:rRNA from 1 species